rnacentral:rRNA from 1 species
UUGAUCCCAUGGCUCAGAUUGAACGCUGGCGGCAGGCCUAACACAUGCAAGUCGAGCGGAUGACAGGAGCUUGCUCCUGAAUUCAGCGGCGGACGGGUGAGUAAUGCCUAGGAAUCUGCCUGGUAGUGGGGGACAACGUUUCGAAAGGAACGCUAAUACCGCAUACGUCCUACGGGAGAAAGCAGGGGACCUUCGGGCCUUGCGCUAUCAGAUGAGCCUAGGUCGGAUUAGCUAGUUGGUGAGGUAAUGGCUCACCAAGGCGACGAUCCGUAACUGGUCUGAGAGGAUGAUCAGUCACACUGGAACUGAGACACGGUCCAGACUCCUACGGGAGGCAGCAGUGGGGAAUAUUGGACAAUGGGCGAAAGCCUGAUCCAGCCAUGCCGCGUGUGUGAAGAAGGUCUUCGGAUUGUAAAGCACUUUAAGUUGGGAGGAAGGGCAGUAACUUAAUACGUUGCCGUCUUGACGUUACCGACAGAAUAAGCACCGGCUAAC